rnacentral:rRNA from 1 species
UGCAUGUCGAACGAAGUAGCAAUACUUAGUGGCAGACGGGUGAGUAACAUGUAGGUAUCUACCCUAUGGCCUGGAAUAACACGAGGAAACUUGUGCUAAUACCGGAUAAGUCUUUACGGAGAAAGCUUUAUGCACCAUUGGAUGAGCCUGCACUUGAUUAGUUUGUUGGUGGGGUAAUGGCCUACCAAGACUGUGAUCAAUAGCUGAUUUGAGAGGAUGAUCAGCCACAUUGGGACUGAGACACGGCCCAAACUCCUACGGGAGGCAGCAGUAGGGAAUCUUGCACAAUGGAGGAAACUCUGAUGCAGCGAUGCCGCGUGAGUGAAGAAGGCCUUUGGGUUGUAAAGCUCUUUCGUCGGGGAAGAAAAUGACUGUACCCGAAUAAGAAGGUCCGGCUAACUUCGUGCCAGCAGCCGCGGUAAUACGAAGGGACCUAGCGUAGUUCGGAAUUACUGGGCUUAAAGAGUUCGUAGGUUGUUGAAAAAGUUGGUGGUGAAAUCCCAGAGCUUAACUCUGGAACUGCCAUCAAAACUUUUCAGCUAGAGUUUGAUAGAGGAAAGCAGAAUUUCUAGUGUAGAGGUGAAAUUCGUAGAUAUUAGAAAGAAUACCAAUUGCGAAGGCAGCUUUCUGGAUCAUUACUGACACUGAGGAACGAAAGCAUGGGUAGCGAAGAGGAUUAGAUACCCUCGUAGUCCAUGCCGUAAACGAUGUGUGUUAGACGUUGGGAAUUUAUUUUCAGUGUCGCAGCGAAAGCAAUAAACACACCGCCUGGGGAGUACGACCGCAAGGUUAAAACUCAAAUGAAUUGACGGGGACCCGCACAAGUAGUGGAGCAUGUGGUUUAAUUCGGAGAUACGCGCAGAACCUUACCAACACUUGACAUGUUCGUCGCGACUUUAAGAGAUUAAAGUUUUCGGUUCGGCCGGACGAAACACA